CCAAUAAUUUUUUAUUACCCGCCCAUUAUUCCCUCUUCUUCCCGUUUCUAUCGCGUGCCCUAAAUCCCUCAAGUAAAAGUUUGUACUUAAUUCUUUUUCCUUUUACUCUGAAAAUUUGCCCCCAAAUUUCCCAUUUCCAACAACACCAAAUGUCUGAGGACGACGAGAGUCAGCAAUCUCCGCCGUCGAAUCUUCUUCCCUAAUAGAAAAACUAUAAACUCUUUUUUGCGUGUGUAUGAACUAAAUUUUUUUGUCAAUAAAUGAAAUUCUUUGAAGAUAAUACAAUCUUUUAUAAAAAUUUAUUUCCGAAUUAGGGCUCUUGAUUUCUUUCUCUGUCUGCAAAUUGGUCGAAUUUUAUUUUUGUUUUUAUUUGAAGUUGAAGGAAAAGCAUAGCAUUUGGCGUACAAGUGAUAACUCACAAUUUUCUUAUGUAUUUAGUUCCCUACUUUUUUAAGCCAACCAUUUUGCUUCAGAAUCUCUUUGCGUUGGGAACCUUUUCAAAGUUCUUACGCCUUUUUGGCCUCUGAUAUUUGCCCAGCCAAGUCAGUAUAUCAAUACCCUUCUGGUGCCCAAAGAUGGUGAAAUUCCCAUAGACAUCCAAAGUUUAUCUUCACAAGGAAUCUUUGACGUGUUUUCAGGGACAGUUGCUCCCACUACAGCUUGAAUACCAGGAAAUGCAAGUUUGGGGUGGAAUUGAGCAAAGGCUUCAGAACUGUGAUUUCGAGUUGAGUUAUGCAUUGGCUUUCUCAAACGAUCUCGCCAGCAAAAGGAAAUUACAAGGGAACAAGCAGUUCAAGAUCUGAAGUUUGUUGAGAAGGAUUAUAAGUUAGCUGAUACGGUUAUUAGAGGGUUGUUGAAGUAUUGGCCUUUGACUAAUUGUCGGAAGGAAGUUCUCUUC